UACAGAGGGGGCCAGCGUUAUUCGGAAUUAUUGGGCGUAAAGCGCGCGCAGGCGGUCCUUUAAGUCUGAUGUGAAAGCCCACGGCUCAACCGUGGAGGGUCAUUGGAAACUGGGGGACUUGAGUACAGAAGAGAAGAGUGGAAUUCCACGUGUAGCGGUGAAAUGCGUAGAUAUCUGGAGGAACACCGGUGGCGAAGGCGGCAUCCUGGACCGGCAUUGACGCUGAGGCGCGAAAGCCAGGGGAGCAAACGGGG
rnacentral:rRNA from 1 species